rnacentral:rRNA from 1 species
UACGUAGGGGGCAAGCGUUGUUCGGAAUUACUGGGCGUAAAGGGCGCGUAGGCGGCACAGCAAGUCGGGAGUGAAAGCCCGGGGCUCAACCCCGGAAUGGCUUUAAGACUGCAUCGCUUGAAUCCGGGAGAGGUGAGUGGAAUUCCGAGUGUAGAGGUGAAAUUCGUAGAUAUUCGGAAGAACACCAGUGGCGAAGGCGGCUCACUGGACCGGCAUUGACGCUGAGGUGCGAAAGCGUGGGGAGCAAACAGG